rnacentral:rRNA from 1 species
UACGUAGGGGCCAAGCGUUGUCCGGAUUUAUUGGGCGUAAAGGGCUCGUAGGCGGUUUGUCGCGUCGGGAGUGAAAACACCGGGCUUAACUCGGUGCUUGCUUCCGAUACGGGCAGACUAGAGGUAUGCAGGGGAGAACGGAAUUCCUGGUGUAGCGGUGAAAUGCGCAGAUAUCAGGAGGAACACCGGUGGCGAAGGCGGCUCUCUGGAACGCAACUGACGCUGAGACGCGAAAGCGUGGGGAGCAAACAGG